rnacentral:rRNA from 1 species
ACCAUCUCUUGACAUCNNCAGGAAGUAAUCAGAAAUAAUUAUGCCUCUCNNGAGGUCAGUAUACAGGUGNNGCAUGGCUGUCGUCAGCUCGUGCUGNGAAGUGUNGGGUUAAGUCCCAUAACGAGCGCAACCCUUAUUGUCUGUUAUCAGCAUGUAAAGAUGGGGACUCAGACAAGACCGCUGGUGAUAUAAACCAGAGGAAGGUGAGGAUGAUGUCAAGUCAUCAUGGCCCUUAUGACCUGGGCUACACACGUGCUACAAUGGCUUGUACAAAGUGAAGCAAAACAGUGAUGUGAAGCAAAACACAGAAAGCAAGUCUCAGUCCGGAUUGAAGUCUGAAACUCGACUUCAUGAAGUUGAAAUCGCUAGUAAUCGUAUAUCAGAAUGGUACGGUGAAUGCGUUCCCGGGCCUUGUACACACCGCCCGUCACACCACCCGAGU